UGCGAUACAGGGUGACAGCCCCGUACACAAAAAUGCACAUAUUGUGAGCUCGAUGAGUAGGGCGGGACACGUGGUAUCCUGUCUGAAUAUGGGGGGACCAUCCUCCAAGGCUAAAUACUCCUGACUGACCGAUAGUGAACCAGUACCGUGAGGGAAAGGCGAAAAGAACCCCGGCGAGGGGAGUGAAAAAGAACCUGAAACCGUGUACGUACAAGCAGUGGGAGCACGCUUAGGCGUGUGACUGCGUACCUUUUGUAUAAUGGGUCAGCGACUUAUAUUCUGUAGCAAGGUUAACCGAAUAGGGGAGCCGAAGGGAAACCGAGUCUUAACUGGGCGUUAAGUUGCAGGGUAUAGACCCGAAACCCGGUGAUCUAGCCAUGGGCAGGUUGAAGGUUGGGUAACACUAACUGGAGGACCGAACCGACUAAUGUUGAAAAAUUAGCGGAUGACUUGUGGCUGGGGGUGAAAGGCCAAUCAAACCGGGAGAUAGCUGGUUCUCCCCGAAAGCUAUUUAGGUAGCGCCUCGUGAAUUCAUCUCCGGGGGUAGAGCACUGUUUCGGCAAGGGGGUCAUCCCGACUUACCAACCCGAUGCAAACUGCGAAUACCGGAGAAUGUUAUCACGGGAGACACACGGCGGGUGCUAACGUCCGUCGUGAAGAGGGAAACAACCCAGACCGCCAGCUAAGGUCCCAAAGUCAUGGUUAAGUGGGAAACGAUGUGGGAAGGCCCAGACAGCCAGGAUGUUGGCUUAGAAGCAGCCAUCAUUUAAAGAAAGCGUAAUAGCUCACUGGUCGAGUCGGCCUGCGCGGAAGAUGUAACGGGGCUAAACCAUG
rnacentral:rRNA from 1 species